rnacentral:rRNA from 1 species
UACGAAGGGGACUAGCGUUGUUCGGAUUUACUGGGCGUACAGGGAGCGUAGGCGGUUGGGUAAGCCCUCCGUGAAAUCUCCGGGCCUAACCCGGAAAGUGCGGAGGGGACUGCUCGGCUAGAGGAUGGGAGAGGAGCGCGGAAUUCCCGGUGUAGCGGUGAAAUGCGUAGAUAUCCGGAGGAAUACCAGUGGCGAAGGCGGCACGCUGGGCCAUAACUGACGCUAAGACGCGAAAGCAUGGGUAGCGAACGGG